rnacentral:rRNA from 1 species
GGUUAUUAGUAAUGUAUUAAUAAUCUUGCCUGCUCAGUGCUUUAAGUAAAUAGCUGCAGUAUUUUGACUGUACUAAGGUAGCAUAAUCAAUAGCUUUUUAAUUGAAGGCUGGAAUGAAAGGUUAAUACUAUGAGAAAAGUUUUGUUAAUUAAUUUUUGAAUUUAAAUUAUAAAUAAAAAUGUUUAUAUAAGUCUUUGGGACGAGAAGACCCUAGAAGCUUUAAUGCAUUGGUAUUUUAGUUGGGGUGACUAAUGAAGAUAAAGAUCUUUGGUGUUAAAUAUUAUAUUAAUAUAAGUUACUCUAGGGAUAACAGCGUAAUUUAAUUUAUGAGUCCUUAUUUAAAAUUAGGUUUGCGACCUCGAUGUUGAAUUAAAUGAAAGUAAGGUGUAGAAGCUUUAUAUUUUUAGUCUGUUCGACUAUUAAAUUUUUACA